GCUGCCAUGGCCCAUGUGUACGGUUUCUUCUACUUUACAGUUGCAGGGCAAGCAUCUCUCUGUAAUCGAGGCAGUGGCAUCCAUUUUGUUGGCUCAUCUCGAAAAUGGUGAACUGGGUCUCGUUCUGCGUAGGGCAAGAUUGUCGAUUAACACAUGCAACCGUGUGAGAAUCUUCUUCCUCCCAAUGCAUUCAAUUAAUUUUCUUUUUUCAGAGAUAUCUGGGGAUGCUCGUGCUGUGUUCCCCAUCUCCAGACUCAAGUUCGUGUGCAGAUUCUUUCAUUUGUGAUAAAACAUCCUUAGCCAAAGCACACACAUCCAAGAUCUUGAGAGAUCCCUCUAGCAAGUCAUCAACUGACUUGUUGUCAACAAGAGCUUGAUGGGUGAGUGGCAAAAGAAACAACUUAUCAAUGGAAUCAUGUAAAUCUUGAAGACCAUCCAGUUUUUGGCACAAAGAAGAUGAUGAAGAAGUGGCUUCAGAGGCCUUCAAUCUGCAGAGAUUUUCAUUAACUUCAUCCACAACUGGAUGUGGCUUUGAGGGCAAACUGUUUGAACGAAUGUGGAAUGAUUUCUUUGAGUUUGCAGCAAAGGAAUCCAUCUUCUUUUUACAAAAGCCUAAGAUUAUGAAUUGUAAAACAGCCAAAAAGUUGACUUCUUUUGGCCUUCAAGAGCUUAUUUAUAUCACUUUGGCUGGGAGAGACAUGAGGAAUCUCAAGCCCAUCUAAUUAUAAUCAAUUAGUGAUAUGUAUAAGAAAAUAAUUCAGCGAUGUCCACGCUUUGUCUC